GAAGCACUUAGGAAGCUGAUAUGAUCUGUGUUUUGCCGAAAAGGCAAAUUAAGUUAUGAAGAAAUGAACUGACUUAAUUAAGGACAAGCAGGUAUUUAGAAUAAGAAGCAGAACUAGACCUUAGACUUCCACUCCUUUCCAGAGACUUUCCAAAUGACUGCACAUUUCAAAGGUGAUUGACAAGUUCUUAAAAUUUUCAAAUUAGAUACUUUAAUGUACAUAUUUAUACCAUAAGUCUGUUUCAAACUAGGAGAACUGAUUUAUUCUAUAAUAAGCUAUCUAUUUACUACAGACCAUCUUUGUUACAGAUACUCUAUAGAGGAAAUUGAGCUGUCUCAGUUACUUACAUAUCAUUUAAAAUCAGCAGUCAUAUGAAACAAAGCAAUGGGUAUCAGUUAAAUAAAAGAGUAAAAAACAAAGGAAUUUUACAAAUAUAGUUUAUAUUAUUUUUUUCUAGCUUUCAUUAUUGUGUGUCAAGUUGUAUUCCUAAGAUAAAAUUAAUUAUUAUUAAUUUAUGAGGGACCAAAAGGGUUAUCCUCUGUUUUCAGUAAGUUGUUUAUCUUGUGUGUACAUGUGUGGCAUAAUUACAAAAAUUUAUAACCUUCUCAUAGUAAUCAUACAAACUAGAUGACCCAGAAAAAAAUGCUCUUUCAUGGUAUGCAAACACAAAUUUGUGGCUUAUUUUGAGGUAUGCUCUUGUUAGUUUCUAUUCUUUGUUAUUACGGUCCUUUAGAAGGUGUCUUUUGUCUUUCAGUCCAUCAUAAACAGAAGAUGGCAGUGGAAAUCUUUUCUAGAGAAACUGCACUAGCAGGGACUGGAAUGGAACAUGUUAGGACAAGGCAAUUUCUCAGGGAUCAAAGGUACAUCAUGGCAAACUCAUUCCUGCACUUUGGUCUCACGGUCUUUCAAAAGGAUGAUGGGGCAGAGGCCAACCAGGCCUCGCUCUCCAGGGAGAUCACUGGAGAACAAGACAAUGUGUCCACCACUCAAGCAUAUUGAGAACUGCGCUUGCGUCAAGCAUAUUGAGAGCUGCUGCUUGCGUCACACCUGCUAAUUUCCAGUGGCCAAAGCAUGUCACAUAGCUAAGCCCAAAGGUAGGAAAAUAUAUUCCACUCUGAGGAAAAGGUGGGAGGGAGUGUUUGCUGAACAAUAACCCAGUCCAACUCAAAGCAGUAAACUUUUGUAAUGGGAUAGAGUUUGUGAUUAAUAGAACAUUUUUUCUUUGAUCACCAAAACAUAGCAAAUGUAUCUUGAUAAUUCCUCUUAACUAUGUUGUUUAUUUGAUAUAAAAGAGGAAAAACUAUUAGUGGACCUGGUUGGGGAAUGGGUCACUCUAAUUACCUGAUCGUUCC
rnacentral:lncRNA from 1 species